CCAGGGGCUGUGUCCACCAUGGCCUGGACUCCUCUCUUCCUCUUACUCCUCUUUCACUGCACAGGUUCCCUCUCCCAGCCUGUGCUGACCCAGCCGCCCUCCCUCUCUGCAUCUCUUGGAGCAUCUGCCAGACUCACCUGCACCCUGAGCAGUGGCUCCAAUGUGGGUAACUACUGGAUAUACUGGUACCAGCAGAAGUCCGAAGGCCCUCCGCGGUAUCUUCUGAGCUACUACACAGGCUCCCGUAAGCACCAGGGCUCCGGGGUCCCCAGCCGCUUCUCUGGAUCCAAGGACACCUCGGCCAAUGCAGGCGUUCUGCGCAUCGCUGGGCUGCAGCCUGAGGACGAGGCCGACUAUUACUGCAGUGUCUGGUACAGCAAUGCUGCUCACAGUGACACAGGCAGAUGAGGAAGUGGGACAAGAACUUCAGACCCUACUGGUC